CCUACGGGAGGCAGCAGUAGGGAAUCUUCCACAAUGGGCGAAAGCCUGAUGCAGCAACGCCGCGUGGGUGAAGAAGCUCUUCGGAGCGUAAAACCCUGUUGUUAGAGAAGAAAGUGCGUGAGAGUAACUGUUCACGUUUCGACGGUAUCUAACCAGAAAGCGACGGCUAAAUACGUGCCAGCAGCCGCGGUAAGACGUAGGUGGCAAGCGUUAUCCGGAUUUAUUGGGCGUAAGGGGAACGCAGGCGGUCUUUUAAGUCAGAUGUGAAAGCCUUCGGCUUAACCGGAGUAGUGCAUUGGAAACUGGGAGACUUGAGUGCAGAAGAGGAGAGUGGAACUCCAGGUGUAGCGGUGAAAUGCGUAGAUAUAUGGAAGAACACCAGUGGCGAAAGCGGCUCUCUGGUCUGUAACUGACGCUGAGGUUCGAAAGCGUGGGUAGCAAACAGGAUUAGAUACCCUUGUAGUC
rnacentral:rRNA from 1 species